UACGUAGGGGGCAAGCGUUGUCCGGAAUUAUUGGGCGUAAAGAGCGUGUAGGCGGUCCGGUAAGUCGGCUGUGAAAGUCCAGGGCUCAACCCUGGGAUGCCGGUCGAUACUGCCGGACUAGAGUUCGGAAGAGGCGAGUGGAAUUCCCGGUGUAGCGGUGAAAUGCGCAGAUAUCGGGAGGAACACCUAUGGCGAAGGCAGCUCGCUGGGACGUUACUGACGCUGAGGUGCGAGAGCGUGGGGAGCGAACCGG
rnacentral:rRNA from 1 species